rnacentral:rRNA from 1 species
CCUGCAUGAAUGGCGUAACGAGAUGGGAGCUGUCUCAAAGAGGGAUCCAGUGAAAUUGUAGUGGAGGUGAAAAUUCCUCCUACCCGCGGCAAGACGGAAAGACCCCGUGGACCUUUACUACAGCUUGACACUGCUACUUGGAUAAGAAUGUGCAGGAUAGGUGGGAGGCUUUGAGUAUAUGACGCCAGUUGUAUAUGAGCCAUUGUUGAGAUACCACUCUUUCUUAUUUGGGUAGCUAACCAGCUUGAGUUAUCCUCAAGUGGGACAAUGUCUGGUGGGUAGUUUGACUGGGGCGGUCGCCUCCCAAAUAAUAACGGAGGCUUACAAAGGUUGGCUCAGAACGGUUGGAAAUCGUUCGUAGAGUAUAAAGGUAUAAGCCAGCUUAACUGCAAGACAUACAAGUCAAGCAGAGACGAAAGUCGGUCUUAGUGAUCCGGUGGUUCUGUGUGGAAGGGCCAUCGCUCAAAGGAUAAAAGGUACCCCGGGGAUAACAGGCUGAUCUCCCCCAAGAGCUCACAUCGACGGGGAGGUUUGGCACCUCG